GAAUUCACUAGUGAUUCAGGCCUAACACAUGCAAGUCGAGCGGUAGAGAGAAGCUUGCUUCUCUUGAGAGCGGCGGACGGGUGAGUAAUGCCUAGGAAUCUGCCUGGUAGUGGGGGAUAACGUUCGGAAACGGACGCUAAUACCGCAUACGUCCUACGGGAGAAAGCAGGGGACCUUCGGGCCUUGCGCUAUCAGAUGAGCCUAGGUCGGAUUAGCUAGUUGGUGAGGUAAUGGCUCACCAAGGCGACGAUCCGUAACUGGUCUGAGAGGAUGAUCAGUCACACUGGAACUGAGACACGGUCCAGACUCCUACGGGAGGCAGCAGUGGGGAAUAUUGGACAAUGGGCGAAAGCCUGAUCCAGCAAGGCCGCGUGUGUGAAGAAGGUCUUCGGAUGUCAAUCAAGAGAAGUUGGGAGGAAGGGCAGUUACCUAAUAC
rnacentral:rRNA from 1 species